rnacentral:sRNA from 1 species
AAAACAAUACAAAAAAAAACUAAAA